GCUCCUAAAACUAACUGAGCCACACUAUUAUUAUAGAAGAACUACUGCUAAAACUAGUAACAAGAAAUAUUCUCUCCCGCACAUCCAUACCUCAGUAAUAGAACCCCUACUGACAAUUAACAGACCUAAUAAGGUCUUACACCCAGACCAUGUACACAAAACUGUUACCCCAACACCGGUGUGCUAACAAGAAAGAUAAAAAGUUGUAAAAGGAACUCAGCAAACCCCCCCAUCCCAACUGUUUACCAAAAACAUAGCCUUUAGCAAUAUAAGUAUUAAAGGUCUCGCCUGCCCAGUGAAUUUUUUAACGGCCGCGGUAUUCUAACCGUGCAAAGGUAGCGUAAUCACUUGUCUUUUAAAUAAAGACCCGUAUGAACGGCUAAAUGAGGAUAGCCCUGUCUCCUACAACUAAUCAGUGAAACUGAUCUCCCAGUACAAAAGCUAGGAUAAAAACACAAGACGAGAAGACCCUGUGGAGCUUUAAAUCCAUAACUACAGACUCCCUUAACACUAGUAUAUGAUUUUAAGUUGGGGCGACUUCGGAAUAAAAAGAAACUUCCGAGCACAGAACCAUAAAUUCAAACCAAGGCUAACAAGCCAAUAAAGACCCAGUCCUACUGACUAACGAACCAAGUUACCCCAGGGAUAACAGCGCCAUCUUCUUCAAGAGUCCCUAUCGACAAGAAGGCUUACGACCUCGAUGUUGGAUCAGGACACCCAAAUGGUGCAGCCGCUAUUAAAGGUUCGUUUGUUCAACGAUUAAUAGU
rnacentral:rRNA from 1 species